rnacentral:rRNA from 1 species
GACAGAGGGUGCAAACGUUGUUCGGAAUUACUGGGCGUAAAGCGCGUGUAGGCGGCCCUGCAAGUCGGAUGUGAAAGCCCUGGGCUUAACCUAGGAAGUGCAUUCGAAACUGCGGGGCUUGAGUUCUGGAGAGGAAGGCGGAAUUCUCGGUGUAGAGGUGAAAUUCGUAGAUAUCGAGAGGAACACCGGUGGCGAAGGCGGCCUUCUGGACAGUGACUGACGCUGAGACGCGAAAGCGUGGGGAGCAAACAGG